rnacentral:rRNA from 1 species
UUGGGAAUGCAGCUCAAAUUGGGUGGUAAAUUCCAUCUAAAGCUAAAUAUUGGCGAGAGACCGAUAGCGAACAAGUACCGUGAGGGAAAGAUGAAAAGCACUUUGGAAAGAGAGUUAACAGUACGUGAAAUUGUUGGAAGGGAAACGCUUGAAGUCAGACUUGCUUGCCGAGCAAUCGGUUUGCAGGCCAGCAUCAGUUUUCCGGGAUGGAUAAUGGUAGAGAGAAGGUAGCAGUUUCGGCUGUGUUAUAGCUCUCUGCUGGAUACAUCUUGGGGGACUGAGGAACGCAGUGUGCCUUUGGCGGGGGUUUCCACCUCUUCCCAC